rnacentral:tRNA from 1 species
CCCCGUGUGGCGAAAAUGGUAUACGCGCUGAUUUCAAAAAUCAGUUAUAUUAUAGGUUCAAAUCCUAUCUCGGGGA